CAAGCCUGAUCCAGCCAUGCCGCGUGGGUGAAGAAGGCCUUCGGGUUGUAAAGCCCUUUUGUUGGGAAAGAAAAGCAGCCGGCCAAUACCCGGUUGUUCUGACGGUAACCGGAGAAGAAGCCCCGGCUAACUUCGUGCCAGCAGCCGCGGUAAUACGAAGGGGGCUAGCGUUGCUCGGAAUCACUGGGCGUAAAGCGCACGUAGGCGGAUCGUUAAGUCAGGGGUGAAAUCCUGGGGCUCAACCUCAGAACUGCCCUUGAUACUGGCGAUCUCGAGUUCGAGAGAGGUUGGUGGAACUCCGAGUGUAGAGGUGAAAUUCGUAGAUAUUCGGAAGAACACCAGUGGCGAAGGCGGCCAACUGGCUCGAUACUGACGCUGAGGUGCGAAAGCGUGGGGAGCAAACA
rnacentral:rRNA from 1 species